rnacentral:tRNA from 1 species
GGGCCUGUGGCGGAAUUGGCAGACGCGGCGGACUUAAAAUUCGCUGAGGGCAACCUCAUCUGGGUUCGAGUCCCAGCAGGCCCA